AGAGUUUGAUCCUGGCUCAGGACGAACGCUGGCGGCGCGCCUAACACAUGCAAGUCGAACGAGCGAGAGAGAGCUUGCUUUCUCGAGCGAGUGGCGAACGGGUGAGUAACGCGUGAGGAACCUGCCUCAAAGAGGGGGACAACAGUUGGAAACGACUGCUAAUACCGCAUAAGCCCACGGCUCGGCAUCGAGCAGAGGGAAAAGGAGCAAUCCGCUUUGAGAUGGCCUCGCGUCCGAUUAGCUAGUUGGUGAGGUAACGGCCCACCAAGGCGACGAUCGGUAGCCGGACUGAGAGGUUGAACGGCCACAUUGGGACUGAGACACGGCCCAGACUCCUACGGGAGGCAGCAGUGGGGAAUAUUGCACAAUGGGGGAAACCCUGAUGCAGCGACGCCGCGUGGAGGAAGAAGGUCUUCGGAUUGUAAACUCCUGUUGUUGAGGAAGAUAAUGACGGUACUCAACAAGGAAGUGACGGCUAACUACGUGCCAGCAGCCGCGGUAAAACGUAGGUCACAAGCGUUGUCCGGAAUUACUGGGUGUAAAGGGAGCGCAGGCGGGAAGACAAGUUGGAAGUGAAAUCCAUGGGCUUAACCCAUGAACUGCUUUCAAAACUGUUUUUCUUGAGUAGUGCAGAGGUAGGCGGAAUUCCCGGUGUAGCGGUGGAAUGCGUAGAUAUCGGGAGGAACACCAGUGGCGAAGGCGGCCUACUGGGCACCAACUGACGCUGAGGCUCGAAAGUGUGGGUAGCAAACAGGAUUAGAUACCCUGGUAGUCCACACUCUAAACGAUGAUUACUAGGUGUUGGAGGAUUGACCCCUUCAGUGCCGCAGUUAACACAAUAAGUAAUCCACCUGGGGAGUACGACCGCAAGGUUGAAACUCAAAGGAAUUGACGGGGGCCCGCACAAGCAGUGGAGUAUGUGGUUUAAUUCGACGCAACGCGAAGAACCUUACCAAGUCUUGACAUCCUGCGACGCACAUAGAAAUAUGUGUUUCCUUCGGGACGCAGAGACAGGUGGUGCAUGGUUGUCGUCAGCUCGUGUCGUGAGAUGUUGGGUUAAGUCCCGCAACGAGCGCAACCCUUAUGGUCAGUUACUACGCAAGAGGACUCUGGCCAGACUGCCGUUGACAAAACGGAGGAAGGUGGGGAUGACGUCAAAUCAUCAUGCCCUUUAUGACUUGGGCUACACACGUACUACAAUGGCGUUAAACAAAGAGAAGCAAGACCGCGAGGUGGAGCAAAACUCAGAAACAACGUCCCAGUUCGGACUGCAGGCUGCAACUCGCCUGCACGAAG
rnacentral:rRNA from 1 species